UGGUCCCUUCUCCAAUCUGCGACGCAGCUGUGCGGAGGCCAGCCGAGGGGGCCAGCGCGGCCUGCAGCUGCAGCUCCCGGGCUGCAAAAUGCGGGAGGAGGCGGCACAGGAAAAACCCGCUGUCCCGGACGAGGUGGGCACUUUGGCGAGAAGCUGCUGCACUUGCGCCGGGGUGGCAUUGGCAAAGCCCGCAAACUUCUCGGGAUCCACAGAGCCGCUGAAAGCACAGAUAAAGCAUUUCCCAUCCAGGAGGGUGACUAUGAUCCAGACGACAGGGGCAAUCAUGGCUCGCUGCAGGACGGAGGAACACAUGUACCUGGGGCAGAAGAGAGACCUGUGAACAGGUAUGCGCUGCAAGCUUUCUCCCUGUCUGUGGGGCUGGAUGGACAUGGACUGCCCUGGCGCUCAACAGCCCCUCCCUGAGCUAACUGAUUCACAGGACUUUCCCCAGCCUUGCUCCAGCUAAUGUCUUCUCUGCUCUAGGUCUCUUUGCUGGUGCUACCAGUGCACGGUAGCACUUUGCAUACUGUCUAAACCUAGUGCAGUGCAUGGUCCUGUCAUUUCAGCUGGAAAAGAAAACAUGCUUAAUCUGCUUAAUCCUGCUUAUAUCUGAAAAAGAAAAUUAAUUGCUGGCAGGACUGGGCUGGUCUCUGAGAGAUUGCUCUCUCAGGCCCUCAAAAUAAAAAGCUCUCCCAUGCACGAUCCAUGUACUUUGUAGGACAUGAAAGUACCGCGUGUCUUUACAGGGCUGCAUUGAAGCCACAUCAGACUGCUGCUGUUCCCCCCUGGCAGCGUGGUGUAUUGUGAGCAUCCUCCUGGGAAGCAGGGAAGGCAAGAUGCCUUUCCGGGAACUGAUUUCCCAGAGACAGCCUCUGGCUGCUGGAAAUCCCCAAAGACUUGCAGACCCUGCCGAGCCCAAACCUGGGCCAGGCAGGUGAGCGCUGCUCUGUGUGUCUGAGCUGACUUUGAACGGCUUCUGUCCU